rnacentral:sRNA from 1 species
AGGUAGAUGCACCCUGAUGACUCCCCUCAACGCCUAUUUCUCCUUCGCGUUGAGGGUUUUUUCU